rnacentral:rRNA from 1 species
UACGUAGGUGACAAGCGUUGUCCGGAUUUACUGGGCGUAAAGAGCGCGCAGGCGGUCGUUCAAGUCGAGUGUGAAAGCCCCCGGCUCAACUGGGGAGGGUCAUUCGAUACUGCUCGACUCGAAGGCAGGAGAGGGAAGUGGAAUUCCCGGUGUAGUGGUGAAAUGCGUAGAUAUCGGGAGGAACACCAGUGGCGAAGGCGACUCCUGGCCUGUUCUUGACGCUGAGGCGCGAAAGCUAGGGUAGCAAACGGG